UCUUAUGGAUGAGCAAGGUAAGUGGCUUCUUGAGAUGGAAUCUACUUCUGGUGAAGAUGCUGUGAA
rnacentral:pre_miRNA from 1 species